GGGGCUGCACUGGUUUCGACGGGGGUGUGGAGGCGGGAAUAGCGGGCGGAUGCGCCCAGCAUCCCAAAAAUGGGCAACUUAUAAAUUAAAGAACGACGAUAACGUAGUUCUCGCCGCUGCUUAAUGCGGCCGUCCGACCGGACAGGGCCACGGGUCCGGAUCGGGCGUGACUGAGUGGCGUCCGUGCGUGCGCAAAGCUUUGAGCGCACCAUGCACAAUGAAGCUACCAAGCCCCUGAGUGUGACGGCUCACGCCUGGGUGAGGGAAUGUAAAUAACCGUCUGCGCCCGGAGAAGUUCCCGUCAAAGCGCUUUCGGACAGGGGUUCGAUUCCCCUCAGCUCCACCA
rnacentral:tmRNA from 2 species